GCUUCCAGCUCGUUUUCGAUAUUGCGACUUUCGAAUCGUCGAUCGGCUCCGUUAAACUUGAUCUAGAGUAUUUGGAGUACCUAGAAAAUAAAUUUUAUUAUUUUUCGAUAUCAUUUGCCUAGUGAUCGAAUGGGCUCAAAAUCAACAAAUUUCAAUGGCCGUAGUGAGCCGUUUGCAAGUUUAACGGUGUAGAAAUAUCCAAAUCACGUAAAAUUUUGAUAGAAAAUUUUUUAUACUAUAUAAAACAAGAUCAAUAUUUUUGAUUUAAAAUUUUAAUAUCAUAUUAUUAUAUUUUGUAAGAUUUUUAUUUUCAGCCGUUGAUUUUGAGCCUCGUCGUUCACUAGGCAAAUGAUAUCGUAAAAUCAUAAAAUUUAUUUUCUAGGUACUUCAAAUACUCUAGAUCAAGUUUAACGGAGCCGAUCGACGAUUCAAAAGUCGCAACAUCGAAAACGAGCUGAAAGCACGGAAGGCUCCGUGCUUCCGAUAGCAUACUAGCCUCACUCUAUAUAUAUAUAUUAUUAUUAAUUAAAUAUAUGUAUUAAGCAUAAAUUUGUAUCAACAUUUGAUUCUAAAAAAGUGAAAUUUUCUGAAACAGGAAAAGUAAUUUCAUAAUAUACUUAUUAUUUGUGCUAGUACAUAUCACCUUUUCAUGUUAUUUUUACUUUUUGCUUUUCUGAUUCUAUUUAGGUUAUUUUUGUCGACCAAUGCAAGUAAUGUCAAGAAUUAAGAGUGUUUCAAUUGGAUUAAUAAUUAAUAGGCAAUGAAUAAUUCAAAUAAAAACAAUUAAAGGUCGAUAAAAUAUUAAUCAAAUUAACAUAGUUGAGGUUCUAACUCAAAAUGGCAUUUAGUCGAACUCAUUGACUGCACCUAGUGUGUAUAUAUAUCUCAUACACAUCAAUAAAUUUGUACAAUGGAGAUAUUAAAAUUAAAUUUUAGUUAAUUCAAUCUAGUUUACAGUAUUUAAAAUAUCUAUAGGUGAAUAUUUAUAAAUUUUAGAUACAGUUGUUAAAAUAAAAUUAUAUUUCUCUUAUUGGAUCCAUGAUGCCCCAUUGCAUCAAUAAAAUGGACAUAUGUCCACAAACAAUAGCUCUUACUAUUGAAAAAUAUUGCUUGCACCCAAUUUAUGUGUAUAUUUUAUAAAUACUGAUAAAUUUGUAUAAUAGAAAUGUCAAAAAUAAUAUUUUAGAAUAAAAUAUAAUUAAUUAAAUUUAUUUCAUGGCACUUUUUAUGUCUAUAUAUUAAAAAAAUAAAAUUUAGAUGCAACCGACCAUCCAUAGAGCAAGUGGCAAAGGGCUUGGUGGUUAGUACCCGAGACCCAAGUUCGAAUCCUAGUUGAUUCACAUUUCCAGCUAAGUUUAUUUCUAAAUAAAAUAAACGAAGCGGGUAGCGUGCUACCUAUCUCACCAAGUCACCUAGUGUAUGUGUACAAUUUAUAAAUACCAAUAAAUUUGUAUGAUAAAAGUACCAAAAAUAAAAUUUUAAAAUAAAAUCUAAUUAAUUAAAUUUAUUUUUGUAAGGACUGAGAUUUUGGCAGUGUUGCUAAACUCUCUAUUGACGAUGUUUUUUGUGUAAUUUAAUUAUAUAAUCACUUGUCAAAUUUCAGCAGAAAAUGAGUUAGAAUAGAGAAGUUACGCGAUCAUUACUAAUCACUUAAAGUGAAUAGUAACUCUGGUUUUUCGGAGAGGCCGAUCAGUGGAGAUGGCUUCUGAUGCGUAUUGGACUCCGUUCUUAGCACUCCGAUAGCUCGUUUUCAAUGGUUCAACUAUCCUGGAACCAAUGGCAUUGACAGACUUGGGUUUUGACGCACGAUUUUCGAGAAAAAUGAAGUUUAUUAGAUUUGCAUAUAUAUAUAUAUAUAGAGAGAGAGAGAGAGAGAGAGAGAGAGAGAGAAAGAGAGAGAGAGAGAGAGAGUGUGUGGGCUGGUAUGCUUCUGGAAGCACGGAGCCCUCCGUGCUUCCAAGUUGUUUUCGAUGUUCGGACUUUCGAAUCGACGAUCGGCUCCGUUAGAGUUGAUCUAGAGUAUUUGAAGUAUCUAGAAAAUAAAUUUUGUGAUUUUUCGAUAUCAUUUGCCUAGUGAUCGAAUGGGCUCAAAAUCAAUAAUUUUAAUGGCCGUGGUGAGCCGUUUGCAAGUUUAACGGUGUAGAAAU
rnacentral:lncRNA from 1 species